GGUGAGUUUGGAGCUGAGAUCAAGCUUUCUCUCUUCCAGCUUGGGCUCAGUCCACAAAUAAUAGCAUCCAUAAUUAUGCAGGUGCUUUGUCACGUUCUUCCAUCCUUGGUGAAGCUGCGAAAGGAAGGCUUAGAUGGUCACGAGAAGAUCAAGAGUUACAUAUGGUGGCUAUCGUUUCUCUUUGCUAUAGUGGAAGCUGUAGUGGUGGCUUGCACUUCUCUCCAAUAUUCAGUUUUU